AUGAUAACUUUCCCCGGCAGCACAUAUACUAAAAUUGGAACGAUACAGAGAAUAUUAGCAUGGCCCCUGCGCAAAGGCCGGGGGAAGAACUUCUCUGUUUUU